rnacentral:piRNA from 1 species
AGAGUUCUGAAUCCACGAGAUCCUUG